GAUGUUGUUCAGGCUGUGUUUGGACAUGAAAGUCUCCUGGCUCAUCCUCCCAGAGGCUGGAAGCACCAGGUCUGGCUUAGGAGCCAUAUUUACAGAUGUCACCGAUCGGCCACACAAGAGCUGUGACUCUCUAACUCCAAGUAAUGUGUAAUUAUAGCAACACAAGCAUAAAAUUACCAAGGACAAGGAGCUGCAGAGUAAUUAUAUGAUUCUUUGUUACUUGGAGCUUUUUUUUUCUUUUUGAGCUGAUCCUGUUAAAAGCACCCAUUUAGUGGGUGGGCAGAAAGAGCAGGUGGCAGAUGGGCAAGAGGACUACAGACACUGACUGGACGCGCGGCUUCCAGCCUUGCAAAGGCCCCACGGCUGACAUCAGAAGGGACCUUGGACUCGCCACCCGACCUCAGGCCAGAAGGACAACACAUUCUUUCUCUGACCACUGACCCAA